GACGAACGCUGGCGGCGUGCUUAACACAUGCAAGUCGAACGGAAAGGCCCUGCUUUUGUGGGGUGCUCGAGUGGCGAACGGGUGAGUAACACGUGAGUAACCUGCCCUUGACUUUGGGAUAACUUCAGGAAACUGGGGCUAAUACCGGAUAGGAGCUCCUGCUGCAUGGUGGGGGUUGGAAAGUUUCGGCGGUUGGGGAUGGACUCGCGGCUUAUCAGCUUGUUGGUGGGGUAGUGGCUUACCAAGGCUUUGACGGGUAGCCGGCCUGAGAGGGUGACCGGCCACAUUGGGACUGAGAUACGGCCCAGACUCCUACGGGAGGCAGCAGUGGGGAAUAUUGCACAAUGGGCGGAAGCCUGAUGCAGCAACGCCGCGUGCGGGAUGACGGCCUUCGGGUUGUAAACCGCUUUCGCCUGUGACGAAGCGUGAGUGACGGUAAUGGGUAAAGAAGCACCGGCUAACUACGUGCCAGCAGCCGCGGUGAUACGUAGGGUGCGAGCGUUGUCCGGAUUUAUUGGGCGUAAAGGGCUCGUAGGUGGUUGAUCGCGUCGGAAGUGUAAUCUUGGGGCUUAACCCUGAGCGUGCUUUCGAUACGGGUUGACUUGAGGAAGGUAGGGGAGAAUGGAAUUCCUGGUGGAGCGGUGGAAUGCGCAGAUAUCAGGAGGAACACCAGUGGCGAAGGCGGUUCUCUGGGCCUUUCCUGACGCUGAGGAGCGAAAGCGUGGGGAGCGAACAGGCUUAGAUACCCUGGUAGUCCACGCUGUAAACGGUGGGUACUAGGUGUGGGGUCCAUUCCACGGGUUCCGUGCCGUAGCUAACGCUUUAAGUACCCCGCCUGGGGAGUACGGCCGCAAGGCUAAAACUCAAAGGAAUUGACGGGGCCCCGCACAAGCGGCGGAGCAUGCGGAUUAAUUCGAUGCAACGCGUAGAACCUUACCUGGGUUUGACAUGGAUCGGGAGUGCUCAGAGAUGGGUGUGCCUCUUUUGGGGUCGGUUCACAGGUGGUGCAUGGCUGUCGUCAGCUCGUGUCGUGAGAUGUUGGGUUAAGUCCCGCAACGAGCGCAACCCUUGUUCACUGUUGCCAGCACGUUAUGGUGGGGACUCAGUGGAGACCGCCGGGGUCAACUCGGAGGAAGGUGGGGAUGACGUCAAGUCAUCAUGCCCCUUAUGUCCAGGGCUUCACGCAUGCUACAAUGGCUGGUACAGAGGGUGGCGAGCCUGUGAGGGUGAGCGAAUCUCGGAAAGCCGGUCUCAGUUCGGAUUGGGGUCUGCAACUCGACCUCAUGAAGUCGGAGUCGCCAGUAAUCGCAGAUCAGCAACGCUGCGGUGAAUACGUUCCCGGGGCU
rnacentral:rRNA from 1 species